rnacentral:rRNA from 1 species
CCCUUAGAUGUUCUGGGCCGCACGCGCGCUACACUGAUGCAUUCAACGAGCCUAUCCUUGACCGACAGGUCCGGGUAAUCUUUGAAUCUGCAUCGUGACGGGGAUAGAUUAUUGCAAUUAUUAAUCUUCAACGAGGAAUGCCUAGUAGGCGCAAGUCAUCAGCUUGCGUCGAUUACGUCCCUGCCCUUUGUACACACCGCCCGUCGCUACUACCGAUUGAAUGGUUUAGUGAGAUCUCUGGAUUGACGCUGGCUAGGGGGCGACCCUUGGCCAGACUACUCGAGAAACUGCUCAAACUUGAUCAUUUAGAGGAAGUAAAAGUCGUAACA